AUUGAACGCUGGCGGCAGGCUUAACACAUGCAAGUCGAACGAGUGGCGGACGGGUGAGUAAUGCCUGGGAAUCUGCCUUAUGGAGGGGGAUAACUACGGGAAACUGUAGCUAAUACCGCGUACCAUAAGAUGUGCCCAAGUGGGAUUAGCUAGUUGGUGGGGUAAAGGCUCACCAAGCCGACGAUCCCUAGCUGGUCUGAGAGGAUGACCAGCCACACUGGGACUGAGACACGGCCCAGACUCCUACGGGAGGCAGCAGUGGGGAAUAUUGCACAAUGGGCGCAAGCCUGAUGCAGCCAUGCCGCGUGUGUGAAGAAGGCCUUCGGGUUGUAAAGCACUUUCAGUGGGGAGGCGUUAAUCACAGAAGAAGCACCGGCUAACUCCGUGCCAGCCGCCGCGGUAAUAC
rnacentral:rRNA from 1 species